rnacentral:rRNA from 1 species
CCCUUAGAUGUCCGGGGCCGCACGCGCGCUACACUGAAGGAAUCAGCGUGGCUUUCUCCCUGACCCGAAAGGGUUGGGAAACCCGUUGAAUCUCCUUCGUGAUAGGGAUUGGGGCUUGAAAUUGUUCCCCAUGAACGAGGAAUUCCCAGUAAGCGCGAGUCAUAAGCUCGCGUUGAUUACGUCCCUGCCCUUUGUACACACCGCCCGUCGCUACUACCGAUUGAAUGGCUUAGUGAGCCUUUGGGAUUGGCAGCUUGUACCGGCAACGGUAGCAGGCCGCUGAAAACUUAGGCAAACUUGGUCAUUUAGAGGAAGUAAAAGUCGUAACA